CAGCCGCCGCGGUAAUACGUAGGACGCAAGCGUUAUCCGGAAUUAUUGGGCGUAAAGAGCUCGUAGGCGGUUUGUCGCGUCUGCCGUGAAAGUCCGGGGCUCAACCCCGGAUCUGCUGUGGGUACGGGCAGACUAGAGUGAUGUAGGGGAGACUGGAAUUCCUGGUGUAGCGGUGAAAUGCGCAGAUAUCAGGAGGAACACCGAUGGCGAAGGCAGGUCUCUGGGCAUUAACUGACGCUGAGGCACGAAAGCGUGGGGAGCAAACAGGAUUAGAGACCCCUGUAGUCCCUGUCUCUUAUAC
rnacentral:rRNA from 1 species